UAUUGGACUUGAAAAAUAAUACAUUAUAGGCAGGAAAACUUUAUAAGCAGUAAAAUUGUAACAGGGUUCUACUGUCAUGAAUUCUUAUCAGCUACUUGAGUAUUUAGUUAAAUGUUGGCAUAACGUAGGUUGAGAAAACACCUACAACGAACUGGACCAAGGAUGCACUGAUCGCGUGGCUGGAGAAGAAUGAGAUAAAACAUGAAAAUAAUUUGUUGAAAGUGGAGCUGCUGAGAAUAGCUAAACAAAACAAGCCCCGAAUACGAUGGGCGAGGUGUGUGGAUCACGUGGAGAAGCUAAUUCAAGCAGACUGGGAGAGAGAAGUCCACAUAGACAGCGGCACCAUUCCUCCACUCAUCAUCCACCUCGGCGAGGAUAGUUCAAGUGAAGACAGUGACAGCGAAGAAUUUGAGGUUACGACACAGCAAGUAGAUGGAGACAGUGAAGUACUGGCAGUUCCUCUUGAUGAUUUACCCGGGUGUUCUUAUUGAGGUCUGUAUGUAAUAAACACCUGGGCAACUGUAAGUAUUGGGGUUUGAAACAUUUUUUUUUCUUUUAUGCAUUCCCAUUAAGUAUGUUGAUUACUGGAACUUUAUGUAUUAACUUUAUAUUACACAUAUUAUAAAAUUAAUAAUAAAUUUCAUUUCUGGAUUCGUAUAGGUGUAUGUGAAACAUUUUAUUUUGUUGUGUCUCUUCAUUUUUCAGUGAACUUACUUGGAAAACAAAAAGCCAGUCCCCAUCCAGGGCCACAAAUAAAUAAUGCAUAUAAGUGGUAUAGAAAUUACUGUCAAUUCUUUACCACAAUUUUACUGUUCAUAAAAUUAUGAUUUUGUCUAAUAAGUAUACUCAGGAAAAUGUAUAUAACCAUAUUUUUAUUUGUGGUAGGGGUUUAUUAAAUAAAAGAAGAAAAUUCAUUUUUAAAUGUUUUCAUCUGAAUUUGUUAAUUUUAUUAAAUCUUCAAUCCUUAGUCUUUUCCAGAUUGCUUAGAUGGACAGCCAUAUGUAUAAUUUACAAUACUUUUUUUUUCAGAUGCAGAAAACUGUGUUGAACUGUACUAAACGAUGAUAUUUAUUGCUUACAUAAAUGUUGUAAAUUUAUAUGUUCUCCUAAAAAUUUACUUUAAAUUAUAUGUUAUUUCUUUAGCUAACAAACUUAUUUUUUAAUAUUUUUACCAUUGGGUAUCAUAAAUGUUAUGCACAUAUACAUGUAUACUUAGAUCAUAUUCAAAUUACUUAUAUAUAUAUAUAUAUAUAUACAUACACACACACACACACACAUUGUUUUGACAGCUGGUGAUUGUAAACAAACCAUUUGACAUUUGUCACAUGGCAAUGUUUUUGUUUACAUACGGCGGAAGGAUACAUAGUGACAUUAAAGUAGAUCCGGUGAAAAGCAGGGCUUCAGAAAAGUAGGAGGUUACCGUGGAUGGACUAUACAGUGUGUUCUGUGUAGGGGAGAGGGGGGUUAGUGUGGACAUGGGGUUAGUGUGGACAGUCAUGAUAUAUCUUUCAGUAUUGACAGAGAAAAGCUAGUAAUUUUUUCAAAGGUUGGCUAUUCUGACUAAAAUCAUGUGAUGCAGUAAGGAGAUGAGGAUUGUAUACUGUUUCUUAAUAUCUAUGUUUAUAUGUUUUUGUUGGUUCCUGCUAUAAUUUUGCAAGCUUAUGAAAGGUAAGAUAUUUUCAGACUUAUUUUUCAUGUAGUUUUACUCCAAUAGUUCUAAAAGUAUGUUUUGUCAACUUAUCUACAAAAAUUUUAGUUAAUAUAUAUUGUCGUCCCAGGGCCCUUAGCACCUUCCCGGUCCCCGAUUUACGCCUGUAAGUUUAAUUAUUAAUGUAUUGCCUAACGUGGCCAGAACUGGGAGCUGGGGAAAUGAGGUUCAGGCCGACUGGAGGAGGUGGAUGUUGGGUCGAAAAUUAGGAAACGUCCGCUAAUUGGUCGCACACUGAUUUAUUUUGCGGCUAGUCCGCCUUAGUCCUGACCGCACCUGUCCCGAAAUAACGGAAUCACACGCUUCCUGCCUCACCGAGAAAUGAAUCUUCCUCCGAUAAUCUCGUUCAGUGACGAAGAUGAACAAAUAGGUACUAGAUAUUGACGAAACUUUAAGACAGACACAUAAACACGUACGUGGCUAAGGAUUUCGGAACUCGUGGAGCGCAGAGUCGCAGGUCCAUACUGCGCGACAGCCAAGUGGCGACUGACUCGCCCCUCUCACCUCGCACACGCUUUGCGCCGCGCGAGGGGUGAUUGGAGGGGGGAGGGAAGUCGGCGUGGAGAGACUAUAUGUUCGCUGCGAACCAGGUGCGGCCCCUACAGAACUACACAUAAACCCUAUUGUAACAUAUAAUUAUUAUUUAAGAAAUAUUUACAAUAUAUACAGGAAAUGUCCGUCUUGGAGCGGUCCUUAUAAGAGGCGUUACGGCGCACGCGGAUGCAUCCCUAGUACAUAGCACUGCACUGCACUGGGGGGGAAAAGGGGCGGCUUCCCUCAGGUACACAGCGAUGGGCAGAAACUGCCUCUAAGCCAAGGAGGACAGGGCAACUGUCGUCAUAUACCCCCUCUCCCCGAGGCCGCUCUGCCCACCGACGUCGGCUCAGGCAAGCAGGUGCGGUCGAGUCUGGUUGUAAGUUCGGUCAGGUGUGUGCACAUCGCUCAUCGGAAGUCGGGCGAACCGCGGCAGCAGCUGCAUGAUGCUGCAGCAAAGUCCACCCCUGUCAGUCCAUCAUAGGUCACGGUACAUGUACUGCCCUUCCCACUCAUAGUCCCAGAGAUAGUAAGGAGCCGUCACGCAGUGUGUGCACUGGUGUACUCUGGGCCCAUCCACAGCGUGCACCACCAUCGUUGUCUCCUCAGGGGGCAUGUCUAGUACCAUGGGCUGCACCUGUUCCUCGUCACUCUCCCCGCUGAGAAGUCGCACCAUCACUUCGUCGGCCAUCGCGUCGCUCGUAGUCGCCCGCCCCUCCCCCCCCCCCCCCCCCCCGGGCCAUCGCUCCCAUGGGCGGGUGCACCCCCGUCGGCAUCUCGUUUAGUGGUCAGGAGGGGUCACCAUCGGGUCGCUCAGGUCGAUCAAGUCCCCGAGAUUUGUGUCGACGUCGGGCACAUCCUCGAUGGUGACGUCCGACUCGCAUGGUCAUUCAUCAUCAUCGUUCAGGAAUAUCGUGUCCACGAGGUGCUCCAGCUCGUCCAGGCUAACACCCCAUGGUCUCCCUCUGUCUAAUGCCUCAGAUGUCGUCGCUCCCCCCCUUGUACCCUGAGUGAUGCCGCCGUCCCCCACAUGGCCACCCUCAGGUGUCGCCUGUUCCUGCAUGGCCCGGUCGGGCUCUUCCGCCGGGUCGUCGCUGGGUACGGGUGUCUGUAGGUGGCAAUCGUCGGUUGAGUCCACCUUUCAAAGGUUGUCUCUGUGCACCUUCGUCGUGCGCCCAUCAGCGCGACAGACGAGGUACGUCGUGCUCCCCCAAACAAGCGACCACCUCCUGUGGCCCCGCCCACUUGGGCGCCAGUCUGGCGCAGAACCCCCUGUUGCCCGACGACGGAUGGUGGCAACAUACGUACACCCACUGUCCUCGCUCGAGCUUACCAGGGGCCUGGUCGUCUGGGGCUUUUGUUGUGCCAGGAAGAGCUCCUGAUGCCAUCGGGCAUCGUCAUGUAGCUUGUCAACAGGUGUCAUGUCCGGGUCGGCGAGUGCUUGUGCUUACCCGGGCAGGGCGAGGUUGCGCCCCUGCACCAGUUUGGCGAGAGAAUGGCCUGUGACCACAUUUGUCGGUUGGUGCAGGCAAUACAGCAAUGUCGGCAGGUGCAGGUCCCACUUGGUGUGGUCUUCGUCCAACCAGAUGCGAAGCUGAGUUUUUAUGUCCUGGUUGCGCCUCUCGGUCGGAUUCGUGCGCAGGUAGGAGGUGGGCAUCUUGCGAUGCCCACAGGACAACCGCCAGUGUCUCCCUAUGAACUGCACCCUGUUGUCCGUCAAGAGGACCCCGAGAUACCCGUAUCGCGGGAAGAACAUGUGCUCAAUCAGGGCAAUCAUGGUGCCGGCCUUCAUGUUUGGUACAGCGAAUGCCUCCGCCCAGCGGGUGAAGAUGUCUGUGACCACCAUGAUAAAACGCUGGCCACGGGACAUGCAAGGGUAUGGCCCCAUGUUAUCCACCACCACAGUAUGGAAGGGAUCCCAGGGCCGCCGUGGGACCUGCUGCUCCUCACUGUCGCUUCUCCGGGACUUCCACUCCUGGCAACGCUGGCAGGCCCUGACAUAAUGACGUACCUCUGCAGCGUCACCUGGCCAGUGGAAUUUCCAUCGAAUCUCCCAAGGCUUCUGCUCUGCACCGGGAUGUCCAGCCAGGGGGUGGUCAUGCAGGUACCCCAGUACCCAUCUCAUGGCCUCUGGCAGCACAUGGGUCUGCCACCUGAACGACCUGUGUGGCUUCUGGUCUGGAGCACACCAUCAAGACUCCGUUGGCCCGGUAUCUCCUUCUCACCGCACUCGGACUGCCGGGACUGUAUGUCUGGGUCCAGGAGCUGCUCAGCAUGGACCUGCUAAAGCAGAUCUGCUAUCAUCUUUGGACAUGAGUCAGGUUCGGGGGCCGCAGGGCUGUACAGCGCAUACAGCUCGAACGGAUGAGGCCCCGAGUUCUCGACGAUGGGCUCGUGUACCGGGGGAAGCACCUUCUCCCAGCCCUGGUCGUCGCAGAACUUACUUAUAAAUCCGAAUGUCGAGACAACUCGUCGGCCAGCUGAUUCUCUCAUCCCGGGACGUGUUCGACCGAGAAAGAGAACUCCUGGAUCAGCAUGGCCCAGCGGGUGAACUUGGACUUCCGGCCCUGAGCAGAGUCCAACCAGCGAAGGCACUGGCUGUCGGUCCUAAGUGUGAACGAGCGGCCUUCUAGGUGGUGCCGAUAGUGCUGAAGAGCCCAGACAACCACGAGGCAAUCCUACUCGUUCACGUGGUACCUUCUCUCAGCCGGCCCAAACUUCGCGCUGGCAUACUCAAUCACACGCCUAACUCCGUCGCCAUCCACCUCGUAAAGGACCCCACCCAUCCCCUCCUGACUGGCAUCCAUCUGGACAAAGAUGGGUCGCCAGGUUUCAAUCGCGACAGCGUGUGACAGUACCGGAAAUGGUCUUUGACCUGGCACAGGUCCUCGUCCGUGGCGGGCGUCCACCGGAACAACAGGUCAGUCAUCGGGGCCGUGAUCGUCGCGAAGUCAGGUACAAAAGACCGCAGCCAGUUCAGCAGUCCCAUAAGGUUUUGGAGCUGCUUUCUGGUCUUUGGCGCUUCUCCUCAAUGAGUUCCAGCUGGGCAGGAUGCGGACGGCACCCCUCCGCCAUCAAAAGGUGCCCCAGGAACAUGAUCUCCUCAGCCCCAAUGUGACACUUGUUCGGCGCACAAGUCAGUCCAUGUCUGGCCAGCAUUUCUAGGAUCAGCGCCAGGUGGUGCGCGUGAUCCUCCCAUGUCCCAGAAUAGAUGAUGACGUCGUCCAGAUAGGCGCUGGCGAAGACGCUGAUAUACCCGUCCAGGAUGCGCACCGUCAUAGACUGGAAAGUGGCUGGGCCGUCCAUGAGCCCGUACGGCAUGGCACAGAACUGGUUGCGCCGACCAUCUGGCACAGUGAACGCUGUCUUCGGAUGGUCGGCGGGACAUACUGGCCCUGCCAGUAGCCCGACUUCAGGUCCAGCAUCGUGAAAAUUUUUGCAUCCCCCAGCCUGGCCAAGUCAUCAGUGAUGUUGAUCUGCGGGGGUGGGGGGAGCGUGGCUAGUCAGUCUGUUGAUGGCCUUGAAGUUUACACUGAAGCAUAAACUCCCAUCCUUCUUAAUGGCCAGCACCACACUCGAGUUGUAUGGGGAGGUGUUGGGCUCGAUGACCCCAUCGCGCAGCAUCUCAUCCACCUGGGACUGGAUCGCUUCGCACUCCCGGGGCCCGAACUCAUGCAUCCUCUCGAACGGCAGGCAGUGCGGCACCAUAGGGAUACUGUUCUCCGUCAUCGUCGUGCCCUUAAAUGGUCCGUCCCCGCAAAUACCUGAGGUCGGAACUCGAGGGCCCGGCUGAUGGCGUCAGCAUGCUCUGCUGGGAUGUUGUGCCUGAGGUUCUCCAUGUGGGUGACUUACUAGGGAGAGGGAGGGGGCCGUAUGCCGUACACCGUCCAGCGCCCGCGGGUGCCGAAGUUCAUCCAUCCAGCUCGCACCUCCACAGCGACAUCGACCUCGUGCAGCCAUGGUGCCCCCAGGAUCAGCCCCUCGCGCAGGUCGGGGACCACCCAGGCCGUGGCAUAUCUCGCACAUGAACAUUGAACGGAACAGGGCCUAGGAUGCUGCCCUGUGGCACUCCUACUCUAAUCUGCUUUAGGUCUGACGUGGCCCCUUUAGUCGAUACUCUAAAGGUUCUGCCUGCUUGGUAGGACGUGAUUAGCUUGACAUAACAUUCAGGGAAAUCAGCUUGGUAUAGUUUAUAGAGAAGCCCUGCAUGAAGCACUCUGUCAAAGGCUUUCUCUACGUCUAGGAACAUUGCAACAACAUAGUCUCGUACGUUAAAGGCACUUGUGAUCUCUUCAGUGAGACUUACUAGCUGGUGAACUGUCGAAUGAGCACCGCGAAAGCCGAAUUGCUCAUUUGGCAGCAAAUUAUUUUCGUGUAUGUGACAAUUUAGUCAAUGCAAUAUUAUGCUUUCGGCUAUUUUCGACACAGUAUUAAGCAGGCUUAUUGGUUUGUAGUUCUGGGGCAGUUUUUGUCUUUGCCUGGUUUGUGGAAAACUAUUGCUUUAGCUUCCUUCCACUGGGAGGGGAAAAUACUUAGCCUGAGCAUUGCAUUAAUGCAUUCAGCCAAAUAUUCCAAGGCCUCAUCUGGGAGCUGUUUCAGAACGAUAGCUUGUAUGCUGUCAUUCCCAGGUUCUUUUGCGGCUUCAUUUUCCUGAUAGCUCGUUUGAUUUCCUGUGCCUGAGUUAAUAGAGGCUCAGAAAUAGUUGGCUGGUGCAAUUUCUCGCUUAAUUCGCGGUAAAUUUGUGCUGUAUAUUGCCUAUCACAAGGCACCAUGUUUGGUUGAAAGGCUGCUUCCAGUGUACUAGCGAAAGCUUGUGCUUUUUUAAGGGGUUUGAAGGGUUGUCCAUUAUUUGUUUCGAGGGGCGGAAUUUUUUCAGAUUUAUUCAAAAAUCGCUUCGUCAUGGUCCAGGCACUCCCAUCCUGAAUAUUUAGUCUAGCGAUUUUUGCUUCCCACUGGCUGCUUCGCCACAGUGAGAUUUCGUCAGAAAUAAUGAGUUAUAGCUCAUUUAUUCUUUGUUUUGUUUGAAGAGUGCAUCGUCGUGUGUAUUCACGUUCUGUUUUUGCGUGAUAUCAAGUCGUGUAUGUAUGCUGGCAGCUCGUCGUGCACUAACUUAACCUCCUUCUCUGGGAUGCACUGGCUUAUACCAUCCUGGAAUUCAGCAGUAAAUUUAGUCAUCGCGGUGUCUAAACUGUCGCUAUCGGUUAUGUCAGCGAUGUCUGACAGAUUUUGCGCGACUUUAGUUUUAAAUCCUUCCCAGUCGGUGUGUUUGUAGUCCCGAAAUUUAUGUGGCGGGUUGGUUUCCGUGUUCGUAUUGUCUAAAUGUAGGAGGACAGGAAAAUGGUCGGACGACAUGUCGUGUACAACCUCGAGUUCGAAUCCCAAGGUUACAUGUUUAUUAAGCACGAUAUCCAAUAUGUCAGGUAGAUUUUUCAGUCUACCUGAGUCGAAUGUGGGUUCAGUAGGAGCAUGAACCUGAUAUUUUUUAUCAAGCUGAUGCGCAUAAAGAAGACCACCAUUUGCUUUCGCGCGCCUGCAAUUCCACUCCCGGUGUUUCGCAUUUAUGUCACAUACAGUGAGGAAGCUCGGAGCGGCCCCAUACAUGACAUCAAGUUCCGCUACACUGAGGGACCUACCUGGUGGGGCAUACAUUGAGAUGAGUUUAAUGUUUUGUUGGUUUAUGUUUAAGUUUAUUCGAACAACUUCUAAAUUUUGAAUAAUGGAUAGCUGGCAUGCAGUGUGUUUAAUGCUGCGGUGAACUACCAGAGCUACUCCUCCCCAUCUGUUUUGUUCUCAAUCGCCCCUACGAACUGUAUAGUUUAGUAUUGUUAGUCAGUUGGUCGGUUGCAAGUGUGUCUCAUUAAUCGCAGCUAUUUUAAUUUUACAUUUUUCCAGGUGGUGGAUGAAUUCCGAUAAUUUAUUUUUAAUGCCACAUGAUUUCCGGAAAAGGAGGGAAUGUGGACUUAACCUAUCGGCCGGGGUUGUUAUGCAACACGGGGCCUGUCUAGUGGCUGCCAUUGAGCUUGGCAGCCAGUGACUGGACGAAGCCCAUCAUCGCAUGGACUUUUUCCGUUAGUGAGACAGAUGGGUCGCACCAUAUGACCAUAAGCUGGCACAUGGGGACAAUUGUGGCCGCCAGAUUUUCAUUUGUGUUGAAAGUGUGUGACUGCUCGAGCACUUUCUGGAAGUCGGUCAGGCCUGGUUUCGUGGCUGGCUGCUCUUGGGGCACGGGCGGUGCAGUUGGCAGCACUGGUAUUGCGUCCACUGCCAUGCUGACCUCAGGUGUGGGAGCUACCUGCGGCCGGGUGAGUGCGGUUGUGUGUCUCGCCGGAUCUGGUGCAGCCUUGGCUGCCAUGAGCUUCUCCUGGACAGGCUGUCACGGCCUGUCCGGCCCAGGCUGCACGGGCCUGUCCUGGGUGGGUCGUGGGGGCUUGCCCUGGCCAUUUUUAUGGCCCAUCGGGUUCUUCUUGAACCCCUGCUUCCGCUGCCAGGGGUUAUUUGCUAGCACUGAGCAGUCCAGCUCGUUGUAGCCAGGCUCGCAGUGCUGCUCCAGGGGCGCAAAUCGGUUGCCACCGGCCUGCUGCAGGUAGUCGCCGAAGCUCUGGGGAAGGGUGUACCUCGGGGUUUCGCAGGGGUUUGGCCUCGGGGGGCCGAAGUAGCCCUGAGGGACCCUCUGUGUCGGUUGGGGCUGGGGCUGCAUUGAGGCCCGCCGGUUGUCGCGCAAGUCGUGGUGAGACUGUUGCUCGCACUGCUUGCGUACCUGGGGCAGAAGGUGCCUGCAGGUCUCCUUCUUGUAUACCUGGCAGCCCUUGUAAUUCGCUCAUUGCGGCUCCUUGCAUUGUGCUCACUUUUUUUUAUCGAGGUUGCCCUCAUUGGGGCAGUUGGGAGCCCGGUGUGGCCCGCUGCACCACCGGCACACAGGGGCCGCGUGGCAAGCCUUGCCAACAUUGUUGUAGCAUUGGCAUACACUACAUUGGGAGGGGCCUGAGGGGCGACGGUAUUCGUCGACACGCACUAGCAUGCCAACGAACUCCUUCAGACCGUAUAUGUGCUCAGAGUCGCAGCUCUGAGGCACCUCGAUUAUGAGUGCAUCGCACUUCUCGCAUCGUUGCCGGUACUCCAAGAACCAGUGAUUCUGGACCGGCAGAUUUAGGGUGCUGAAUUCCUCCUGGAGGAACUCAGAUGGUGUGUGGCGGUGCACUCUGUGCAAUACAGACUUUUUUGGUACUUUGUCCCUCUGAAGGAGGACGGAGUGCUGUGCACAAAUUGCCUGCAGGGCUUUCACUGUCCUGUGGUAAUCGGGGAUGGACGCUACAUUUACCUGUAUUUCGUCAAGGCCAUGGUUCUGGCACGUGAUCUUGUCUAACACCAUCUGUUUAAGGGCAGUGACACCCUCGGGUACUGGUGCCUCUGGUCGAGGAAAACGAACAGGGGCUUGAUUCGAGGUGCUUUUUUGGUGGGCUCGGUCGUUGUUGUUGGCUGAUGGGGGCGGGGGGCGGGGCCCGCCUCGUCAUCACUGCCCGCACCAGACACCUCUUUGUGCAGGCGCUUAGCUCGCUUGCCAGUGGCUACUGUCCAGCCACUGGAUUCGUCGUUUCUCGGCCCUGAAGGGGCCUCACUCACUGCCAUUUCGACAGAUUCGCUUGUCAUUGUAUUGUCACCUGACGCUCGGGGUCCACCCACUGACUGUCCCCCGGGGCUAAGUUAGCCCGGUUCGGGCUAGGCUAUAGGGGAUCUAACUCCCAGGGUGUUGCCAAGUUCGUCGGUCGUCACUACUUACUCUUACUCCGCUUUACCAUUACCACCUGUGUGCAGUUAGCACAAAGGCACCUUUAUCAACCACUGGGUAGCAUUAAUAAGUGCUAAACACAGCUUAAGCAUCGAGCACUGGGUAGAGGUGGGUCUAAGAGUAUCAACCUGAUACUUUGUCACUGAUACGCGCCUGUAUCAGGAAUGGCAAACGAGUACACUUGAAAAGUAUCAGAGACUUCAGUAUCAGUUCAGAAUUCACCUGGAACAACACCACGGCCAAUGAGCGCAGUACCCGAUCGCAGAUGACGGUCACUUGGGCGGAGCUUGUGAAAGGGGAGGGAGUAGGAACGACGAAUAAGGGAUAAAGAAGGGAAAGCAUGUAGGGGAGGAAGCGCAGGGGAAGGUGUUGAAGCUUUGAAGGAGAGGCGCAAAGCGAUAUUGUUACAAGCAGGGCUGCCACUCAUGGGUUUUUCCACCCAGAUCUGGGUUUUUCCAAUGGUGUUUGGGUUUCUGGGUUUUUAAAUAAUGAAUUCCAACAAUUCUAGGUUUUUUAUAAUUUUAAUUAUUUUUAUACCUAAAACAAUAAUAAAGGUAGUAGCUACUGUAUCUGUUGCAAUAUCUGUUUGAUAAAUGCAAACAAGUCUGUGUGUUUCACACACAAAAAUACAUAUAAACACAAAACUAGUUUUCAAGAAGCUAAGUCGAAUAUUAAAUUAGACACAUUCUUCAAAGAGGCUUGCAGAACACAAAACCAAUGCAAAAAUUAACCUUCAAACCAAUCUUGUAGAAUCAGACUCUGAAUAAAGACUAACGUACAUGAUGCAGUUUUAUAAAAACAAUUACCGGUUUAAAGAAUGCAGUGAUGGUGUUUGUUUUGUCAUGUAUAUAUUUGUAGGUUUUUUUUAUGAUAUGUGCUGGUCCAAGUAUUACUUAUACAGCCAUUUUGCUGCAGUGUAAUUUUCUUGUAUUGGUUGUAUUUAACCAUUUUCAGUCUUGUAAGGUAAUUAAUUGUUUUAUAUUAAAACCAGUUAUGUUUAUAUUUUUGAAUUAGUACGCAAACAUUUUCAACGAUAGCAUUUUAGACGCAUGUGGGUUUUUUACCCAUGUGUCUGGUUUUUUUUUGUAGGUUAUCUAGGUUUUUCAUGAAUAUCAGAGUGGCAGCCCUGGUUACAAGUCGUUUUGUUUAUUGUCCUACUUCGAAGUACGCUCAGUGCGCAGUGCGUGCACCGUCUCGUUCAAUAAUAAAACUAAUGAAAUUUUAAUAUUAAAAAGUACAUUAAUACAAGAUAUAAUAUUUAUAUUUGUGCACCUAACAGCUAUGAAAAUGGAAAUAAAUUCUCAGUUGACACUAAUAACAGAUGUAAUCAACAUAUGGACUUUCUUUUUUCGAAAACAAUUAGUAACUAGUGUUUUUAUACAUUAAAAAUUCACGAUUUUAUCAAAAAUAAAAAAUAAAAAAACAGAUAGGUACAUUAGUGAGCAUACUAUAUCAAUGUUUUUUCAAAUGUUUCUUCAGAUUAGUCGAUGAUUUAUAACUCAGUUUUUGUUUACACAAAUUACAAUUAGCAAACUCAUUAUUUUCCGUGAAAAAAUUCCACACAAAUGAAGUCUUUUUCGUGCACUUAUCCAUUCCUUAUUUCACUAUAAAGAUACUAACUACAAAGCAUGACAGCCCGCAACAUGGUGAUACACGGCCAGGACGAACUGCAGUGAAUGUUGAACUGAUUGAUACUGGUUGUAUCAGGCGGGCAUGAGAGUAUCAGAGGUAGAGAAUUACCAGGCGUGAUAAAUAAUGUAUCAGAUUCUCCUUCCGGUCGCACGGUCUGCGUACGCGGAGCUUUGUUGCCUCCUGGGACCAUCUGAUACAGAAGUAUCAGAGACUUGUAACAUGGUACAAUGCUGUAUCAGUAUCAGGUUGGAACAGAUACCGAAAAUUGCUGUAACAACCUACCUCUAGCACUGGGUAGCACUAAGAAGUGUUAGCCACAUUUGAAGCGGCAAUCUCGAGGUUCUCGAAGAGCAGCUCCGGGACACGUCCUUCCUCGACCGAAGCACAGCUGGAACCUUACUUCUUUCUAUGAUUCAACCAAAAAAAAUGAACAAAAUUAUUAUUUACGACUACAAAACUAAGUAUUGUACAGUGGAACACACUUCAAAAACACUUAACGAAAGCACGUAUAAUUUUAUCAAUCUUCCUGCGUUGAAGUAAUCUCUUUGCAAAAA